GCUAUCCUUUCGGGUACGUCUGCUGAAACCUCAGUGAAUUGAUUAGGCGACUCUAAACUAGUAUAAUCCUCGAGGGCUGCCCUCGAGCACUAGCCAUCCUUUAUGGUUGGCGACAUUACCAUCUUGCGGGAACAUUCGACCUCGUUACAAACUAGUUAGGAUAACCCGCAGUCACACCCGUGACUCACAGGCUAAAUGGUGAUGGGCGUAGAUGUUAGGCAUCUAUGCUUCAGAUAUAGUCGGUCCCCAGAUGUCUCUGGGAGUAUGUAAACGUUCCGUAGGUGAACCUGCGGAAGGAUCA
rnacentral:rRNA from 1 species